GUCGUAACAAGGUCUCCGUUGGUGAACCAGCGGAGGGAUCAUUACCGAGUUUACAACUCCCAAACCCCUGUGAACAUACCAAUUGUUGCCUCGGCGGAUCAGCCCGCUCCCGGUAAAACGGGACGGCCCGCCAGAGGACCCCUAAACUCUGUUUCUAUAUGUAACUUCUGAGUAAAACCAUAAAUAAAUCAAAACUUUCAACAACGGAUCUCUUGGUUCUGGCAUCGAUGAAGAACGCAGCAAAAUGCGAUAAGUAAUGUGAAUUGCAGAAUUCAGUGAAUCAUCGAAUCUUUGAACGCACAUUGCGCCCGCCAGUAUUCUGGCGGGCAUGCCUGUUCGAGCGUCAUUUCAACCCUCAAGCCCUCGGGUUUGGUGUUGGGGAUCGGCGAGCCCUUGCGGCAAGCCGGCCCCGAAAUCUAGUGGCGGUCUCGCUGCAGCUUCCAUUGCGUAGUAGUAAAACCCUCGCAACUGGUACGCGGCGCGGCCAAGCCGUUAAACCCCCAACUUCUGAAUGUUGACCUCGGAUCAGGUAGGAAUACCCGCUGAACUUAAGCAUAUCAAUAAGCGGAGGAA
rnacentral:rRNA from 1 species